rnacentral:rRNA from 1 species
CCCUUAGAUGUUCUGGGCUGCACGCGCGCUACACUGAAGCGUUCAACGAGUAUUCACCUUGCCCGGGAGGGUUGGGUAAUCUUUUGAAAACGCUUCGUGAUGGGGAUAGAUUAUUGCAAUUAUUAAUCUUCAACGAGGAAUUCCUAGUAAGCGCGAGUCAUCAGCUCGUGCUGAUUACGUCCCUGCCCUUUGUGCACACCGCCCGUCGCUCCUACCGAUUGAGUAAUCCGGUGAAUAAUUCGGACUGCAGCACUGCUUGGUCUCCAGGCUUUGCAGCGGAAAGUUUAGUGAACCUUAUCACUUAGAGGAAGGAGAAGUCGUAACA